UCUCCGUCCUGGUUGGAGCCGGGCAGGUCGGUGUGGUCCUCUGUGCCAGGGAGGAACUGCAGUGGGAGCAGCGCAGGAGUGAACGGAUCGACCGCUGAGCUUGUUGUGCCUACCACGCUGCUCCGGGGGAAAAACGUCAUUGAAGAUCUCUGGACUGUGUUGGCAGGUGCAGACCUGGCGCAGACGGUGCAGGUCUGGGCGGGUCCGUGGACUCAGGUUCGGUGGGUUCGACUCGUGGACUGUCACUGCACAGGAGUUCAGGAGCAAACAGGGUCCAACUAAAGCUGCUUUAAGGAACAAUUUCUCACUUGGAACAACCCACACCUGCUCUGCUGAUGUACCUCUGAGCAAGUCACCAACCAAACCACAUAAAGGACAACUCUCUCAUUAUGAGUAUUUGUUAGAGUACUGAUCAUUGAUCAGUUAUAUUCAUUAUGCACAGCCAUGUAUUCCCCUUAAUGUCCAGUUAACUGUCAUUGUAUCAUAAGAAGGCACUGCCACCGUGUGGUGAUCAGUGAACAUGCUGGAAGUACUCAAUGACCCUUUGUUCUCUUGUACUCUGUUAUAUAAAAUUAAACAUCUUUAUAUUUUUUGAACAAGCUUCCAAACAAG